CUCCUCUCUUACAGGCCCCCUGCAGCCCUGGGCACCGCUGACUUGCUCCCCUGGCACUUAUUCUGAAUACUCUUAAGUAUUUCAUUGCCUCCAUGGUUGCCCAUGAGGAACAAUUUUACCCCCCAGUGGACAUGUGAUGCUGUGCCAAAGGAAGUGUACACGGACCACGCCUGUGGACCGCACCUGCGGACCACACCCGCGGACCACACCCGCAGACCACACCCGCUGACUCUGCACUGUGCCCCCUUCCCCACCACGCCCAAAGACGUAAGCAUUGAUAUGGAUCAUUUUCAUGAAGAAACAUUCAGAAACAUGGAAGCUUUAAAAGUCAACAAGCCUGGAAUUACCUGGUCGUUUUCAAGGAGAACCCUCAAAUCAGAUGCGUAUAGACCAGGGGUGGGCAAACUUUUUGACUCGAGGGCCACAAUGGGUUCUUAAACUGGACCGGAGGGCCAGAACAAAAGCAUGGAUGGAGUGUUUGUGUGAACUAAUAUAAAUUCAAAGUAAACAUCAUUACAUAAAAGGGUAUGGUCUUUUUUUUCCAAUAGUUUUAUUCAUUUCAAACAGGCCGGAUCCGGCCCGCGGGCCGUAGUUUGCCCACGGCUGAUAUAGACCCUCUCCAUCUGGCACCAUUUUUAACAGUUGUGCACUAUUCUUGUUCUAAACAUGUUAACCUUUAGAAAAUACUAGUGUGAAAUAAGCAUCAGUGAUUACUAUUUCUUACAUAUAAACAUCCACUAAGUAGGGUGGAAAAGGCAGAAGCACCUUAGUUCAUAUAUCUUCAUAAAUAAUUCAUAUAUUGUCUUACAAUAUUUACUUUGUUUUCACAAAAACCCUGGAAGGUUGGAAGAUGAGGCUCAGGGAGGUUGUGACUAUCUUUAGGUCACAUAGCUCAUUAGUGGGAGAGUUGGGACUGGAAUCCAGCCAGGUUUCCCAAUACCCAGAUCAGACAGGGAAAUAAUGGGGGAAAACAUGCAAAUGAGUCCUCUUAAAGAAACAAGACCCUUCAAAGGAUUACAGGACAAGAGAGUAUGCAAACACAUGUUAUAUUUUAUGAUGCUGAUUUUAAGUAAAACUGUAAUUCACAAAAGAGGAAUGCGUUGGAUUACUUGGGAAAGAUGUCAUGGAGAUGAGACAUGGUGUGGGCCUUGAGACUGAGUAGGAUUGAGAAAGGGAGAGAGAUUAACUGAUCAGUGGCUAUAAGACUACAGGCAACAGGGCUGUGUUUGUGAACAGCUCACCAAAAGCACCUAGGGAGAGAGACAUGUUUGUAUUAGAUUUUUUUGAGCUUCCACAGUAUCCAUAUCCUAGGCUCCUGAGGGUGCUCUGCAGUUCCCCGGAUUAAGCCCCUUUCUGAAUUUUUUUUUUUACUGAUAACAUUUUAAUAACUCUGGGUGCAUAAUAUAACUGGUACAUCUAAAAACAACAAACCAACAAAUUAUCAUAAUUUCAGGUUAUACACACUUUAAGUUAAUGAACUAGAUUUAUAAAAGCUACAAAAUAUUUUCAAAGGUAUGGGAAGAUGUGGUCAUGAGACUUCAUUGUAAGAAUGGGUAUAGGAUAUGUAAGAUAUUUUUCAAACCUACAAAGGACAUUUCAAAAUUUACAAUGUUAAUAAAGUUCUUGCUUAGAAAAUCAACAUUUUUAUCUUCAUUCAUCAGAAGAUUUAAUUAGAGCAGCUUUCUUCUUAUACUUUUCUCCAAUCUCUCUAAUAUUUUCCAAGAGAUCUUCAGACACUUCCUCUUCAUACUCUCUGUCAACUUUAGCAAUCUGCUCCUCAAGGUAUCUCUCCACAGAGCCUACAUGUGUGGCAACCAUCACUAAAAGACACUCUAAGUUAUUUCCCACUUUUGUCUUUCUUCAGUUGUGGUUUGUACAACUAGCUGGUAUUCCCAUUGAAUAGAAUAUAAUUCAUUCAUAGUUUCACGGAGGCCCUCAUUAACAGCACUCUCCAGCAUGUGCUUGUGUUUCUCCAAGGACUCCAACUCAUUGACACAUUUGUUGCCCCCUUCCCCGGCUUCCUAUACUUUUUAAAAAAAUAUAUAUUUUAUUGAUUUUUUACAGAGAGGAAGG